UCAAUUGAAGAAGUUGAAGGAUAUGCCUCACUGUCUGAAAAUAAGGAUAGUGAUUAUGUUGGGGAUGAGGAGAAUAAUUAGAUCUUUUUAUCUUUUAUCACUAAUUGGAACUACCGGUUAUUUGUUGUUUUGAACUAUUUAGAUUUUGAGUUUUAAGUCACUUUUAAUUUCUGUUUUAGGCUUUUUUGUUUUAAGUCACUAAUGUGUGUGCAUAAUUUUAACACUAGUUUCUUUUCACAAACUUCUCCUUACUAUUACUCUUAACUAUUUUAAAGUGGGUUGUUACGGUGAUAAUCAUAAGUAGAGAUAAUAAUUAUGUGCCUCAUAGUAGGUGAUAAGCAUAGUCGAAUCACUUUAGCCACCAGGAGCUUCGCUGCUCCUUUUAAUUUAUUUGUCUAUAACUAGUAGGUGAGAGUGAAUAUUUAUCUGUAAAUUCUCAAACACUUGUGAAUAUUGAUGAGUACUAUACAUGCCUAAUAUAUAUAUGUUCACACGUUAAACAUUGUCACCACGUGAAUUGGAUAGAAAUAUUCCAUGACACAUUUUAUUAUACUUAAUCACUUCUAUUUUUAAUAAUUAGCGUUAGUCUCUGGAUGCAUUAACAGCUGCUGUUUCUAUUCCAUACUCCAACUCUGCUUUUCUUCUAAUCAAGACAUUUGUUGUUGCAUAUAUAAGAGAGAGUACUCUUCAAGAAGGUAUGUUUCAUUGUUCAAUAGUCAUAGACAUGCAUAGAUGCAAGUGAAAUUUUAAAUAGUACUUCAGAAAACUAAUUGAUCUAUUUAAGUAUAUGAUUGUCAUAUGUUAGCCUAAACACCCAAUAUUUUUAUUUGAAACUAAAUGUGUUUGCCUAACCUCCCAAUCUGAAACUGAAACUAACCGUGUAUGGGGUGAUUAGGCAAUAGUCAAGGAAGCUCCGGUUAAUAUAAUUAUGUGAGUUGUGAGACUGUGAUGCUUAGGACUGUUCAUUCAAAACCUUGAACUGAACUGAUAAUUUAGGACUGUAAUGAUAANNNNNNNNNNNNNNNNNNNNNNNNNNNNNNNNNNNNNNUCUGUUAGUCACACGUUUGAAUGUCUAAUUCAUUGGAUAUUUUACAAAAAAAAAAAUGUAUUGACUUCUAGAUAGUUGAUCUGCUCAUUGUUUCUUUUCUUUUUACAUAGAAUUUUAAUUAUAUUACUUUUAUUUUGCAGAAGAUAAAUAAUGAUGAUAUCGAAGAAGAAAUGAAA
rnacentral:lncRNA from 1 species